UAAGAUUUAGACUAACUGAUCCUGAGAUGGAGAGACAGAAAAAAAUAAUGCAUGAGCAUGUGUGCGGUGAAAAGUCAGCGGUAGCUGAUGGAAAAAAUAGCAUUUAAGUCACAACUAAAGUAAGCCACUUGAUUCUUACAAACAUUUCGGCGGCCUCUCUUGUCUGGAUUAGUUCCAUCCAAACUGUGCGAGAAAGUCGUCAAUCCCAGCUUGCAUCUCGGAUCUUUGGCUCUCUAUCAUGGCUGUCUGCAGGAUGUGGUGCUGUCUGCUAUCCAGUUAUGGCUGAGACACUGAUUGUCUCCCUGCGGCACAGCUACAAGUAGCAUCGACCCAGCCCUCUAUAACACUGGUCCUCUUGUUCCUCCGUCUCAUCUAUCUCUAUCCCUGCAGCUCCUGGCUAUCUUCACCCUCUAUGGCUCCUUCAUGAUGGCCCCCUAAUCUCUGCCAGUGUGGUUCCAUGUAUGCAUUGCAAGGCGGCUGUGUAAUCAAGCCUGUGAACUCAACAUCUGAAGGAAGGAUUCUGUUUCUGAUCACAUCCCCAUUGAAGUGCAUCCAUUCGCUGAACAUGGAUGUGUUGACGCACUCGAGCUUGCAGUCCUUGAAUAUACCAUGUCCGAGGGGUCAUGAAUAAUGCCAAGGAGCCUGGGAGGGAGAAAAGAGAGACGCCACUCCCUCUCUCCAGCUUAUCACCGCGCAGCUGUACUCAGCCUGCACAGUGAGGCCGCGGAGCCAUUAAUGAGUCCCAGCACUGAUAAUGAAGCCACAGAGGUGGUCCGAGCCAGUGUGGCACAGGAGCUGGAGCACAGGAGGAAGGUAGAUUAGGAUAAUUACCUGGCCACGGGGGAACGAUGAGAAAGAUGUCUCACUUCCUGCAGGCCCCGAUCGACGACGGAGCAAGUACGAUAUAAUGAGGCGUCCUCCACUUCCACCCCGCACGUAUGUAUGUAUGUGUUUAUUUGUUGUUUAUGUAGCUGUGCUUUAGGUCUCACACAUACUGUACAUAAGUCCUAAACAUCCACACUCACAGAGACUUUGAAGAGCCUAUGAGGUCAGGUUUUAAAUUAUGGUCUGCACCCACACCAAGCGUUCUCUCCCCACUCCUGUAAAUCCAUUUUCCACACAAUGCAUUUCAAAUCAAAGCAGCGUCACCAUAACACGCCUUAGGAAACAUUAAGCCAUAGUGCAGUACUUUCAUGUAUGAUAGCAUAGCCCCUGUAUGCUUUGAUGUGCUCACUUUUUUUUAAUGCUUUAUUAAUAAUAACACACUGGCUCCUUCUCACACCAACACCAGCUUCUGGUGCUCCUUUUCUCUCCUCCUGAACUACAUCCCUCACUCCUUCCAUGCCUCAGCUCCUUCAUCCCUCCCCAGCCCCUGAGCCUUGUCUCGGGAUUGGCCUGUUUGUGUUUGGGAGGGGGAUUAGAGGGAAUGACAUGGGUCUCAGAGAUGAAGAGAGUGACAAAGACCUAUCAGAGGGCAGAGAGUGCGGAGCGCUGCAUCACCAUUGGUUGCUGUGGAAAUCAGACACGUCUUCAUUUCUUCCAGCCAUCCUCUCCAAAGUGCCCAGCUUUCAUUUCCACGCCUGGGGAGGGAAGCAGGGAGAGGAAAGAGAGAGGAUGGAGGGGGGGGGGGGUCAGGAUUAGAGUUUCUGUUUGUGCAUUUAAGUGCGUGCGCGAGUGUGUGUUUGCUUGCAUGUUGUGUGCAGUAAACAUCGUAGAGAUACAGAGGGAUGAGCGCAUAGACACUGAUAGCACUCACCUCCUCCAAAUCUGGCCAAAAUACAAAUGCUGUAACAAUCUAGUGUUCUAGCUGAACACGUUCCUCAUGAAUGGGAUGCCUGAUUCAUAGACAUGUAAGACCUACUUAGGAUACAAAUGUCUCACUGAUUUCCCUCAUUAUUUCAGCUUUAUCCACGGAUAUUGUGCAUUAGUGUUACAGGCAGAGGUACCCCCAAAGCAAACAAUGGCUGCUCAGUAUUUGCUGAUGUUUUCUUUCUGACAAUUUCAAAGCAAUGUCUGCAAUUUACUGAAUUGCUUAGCAGCCUCCCCACAUUCACAUGCGUGUGCAGAUGUGCACAAACAUCUGCUGAAUUAAUUUCCUGCUUUUGUGUUUUUCCUUUUUGUCCGUGCUCCUUUUUGAUGUUUAUUUCCUCUUUCUGUUAUGUAGCGUCAUUCAAUCUCGGUUUCUCGUGUUACUAUAAUUUCAGCCCGCAACUUCUGCAGCAAGUCAUUUAAAUGCAAUCUG